rnacentral:rRNA from 1 species
UUAAAAUUGUUGCAGUUAAAACGCUCGUAGUUGAAUUUCAAAGAAUCAAUAUUUUAAGUAAUGCUUUUGGUUUAAGAUGCUUAGGCAAUACAACGUAUCUGCUCUUUGCAUUCCUUAUCCAAAAUGUGUUCUUAUUAUAAAAAGGAUUCUUUUUAAAAUCUCCUUUACUUUCUUGUACAGGAGAUUUUGUUACUUUGAGUAAAUUAGAGUGUUCAAAGCAAACAGUUAAAGCAUUUUACUGCGUUUGAAUACUACAGCAUGGAAUAACAAAAUUGAACAAGUCAAAACUCUGUUCCUUUUUCUUAUUUUGGCUUAGUUACGAUUAAUAGGAGUAGCUUGGGGGCAUUUGUAUUCAGAUGUCAGAGGUGAAAUUCUUAGAUUUUCUGGAGACAAACAACUGCGAAAGCAUUUGCCUAAAAUACUUCCAUUAAUCAAGAACGAAAGUUAAGGGAGUGAAGACGAUCAGAUACCGUCGUAAUCUUAACCAUAAACUAUGCCGACUAGGUUUUGGAUGAAAGAUUUUUAAAUAAGAAAAUUCCUUUUGGAAAUUUCUUAGAUUGCUUCCUUCAGUACCUUAUGAGAAAUCAAAGUCUUUGGGUUCUGGGGCGAGUAUUCGCGCAAGCGAGAAAGUUAAAAGAAUUGACGGAAGGGCACCACCAGGCGUGGAGCUUGCGGCUUAAUUUGACUCAACACGGGGAAACUCACUAGUUUAAGACAAGAGUAGGAUUGACAGAUUAAUAGCUCUUUCUUGAUUUCUUGGAUGGUGAUGCAUGGCCGUUUUUAGUUCGUGAAUAUGAUUUGUCUGGUUAAUUCCGAUAACGAACGAGAUCUUAACCUGCUAAUUAGCGGCGAAUACGUUAUAUUCCUACUUGAAAUUGAAUAUAGCUGAAUUUGCUUAUUUUGAAGAAUACAUUAGGAUACAUUAUAGUGUCCUUUUCCCUUUUCUACUUAAUUUGCUAUUCAUGCUGUUUCUUUUUUGUGUAGGAAUGUAUUCGUUUGAUUGUAAAGCUUCUUAGAGGAACGAUGUGUGUCUAACACAAGGAAGUUUAAGGCAACAACAGG